UACGUAGGGGGCAAGCGUUGUCCGGAUUCAUUGGGCGUAAAGAGCUCGUAGGCGGCUUGGCAAGUCGGGUGUGAAAACUUCAGGCUCAACCUGGAGCGGCCACUCGAUACUGCCAUGGCUUGAGUCCGGUAGGGGACCACGGAAUUCCUGGUGUAGCGGUGAAAUGCGCAGAUAUCUGGAGGAACACCGGUGGCGAAGGCGGCAUCCUGGACCGGUAUUGACGCUGAGGCGCGAAAGCCAGGGGAGCAAACGGG
rnacentral:rRNA from 1 species